rnacentral:lncRNA from 1 species
UGCUCUUUAAUUAAUAAGCUCUAGACCAUUUAAUUUUUAAAAAAUUAUUUGAUCAUGUAUGUCUUUAUUCUGUACCUGUUCCACAAAAGAUACAUGAAGAAACCCCAUCUGUACAAAAAAUACAAAAAGUAGCCAGGUGUGGUGGUGUGUGCCUGAUCAAUAAGGCUUAAUUACAGCAACAUAAACAUGUCUUUUAUUAAAUUAGUUAUUAAUCCAAGAAUCUACUACUCCGAAUCUAUACCUGCAAAAAUUGUAUUCGAAUAUCUAAUUUUCUACCAUCACAGAUCACCAAGAAUUCAAAAAUAUUGAUCCCCCUUGACAAAGACGCAACUGAAUCAUAUUAAUACCAAGCAGAGGCCAGGCGUGGGUGGUUUAUGCCUAUAAUCCCAACAAUUUUGGAGGCUGAGGCAGGAGGAUCACUUGAGCCCAGGAGUUCAAGUCCAAUCUGGGCAACACAGUGAGGUCUCAUCUCUACAAAAAAAUUUGUUUUAAUUAGCUAGGCAUGGUGGCAUGUGCCUGUAGUCCUAGCUGAUCAGGAGGCUGAGGUGAGAGUAUUGCUAGAGCCUGGGAGUUUAAGGCUGCAGUGAACUAUGAUCCCCCCACUACACUCUAGCCUGGGCGACAAAAAGAAAUCCCGUCUCGAAAAAAUAAAUAAAUAAAUACCAAGCAUAAAUAAUUUUUCACAACUAAGAGUCAGGACUCAGCUUUCAUUUCAGGCCACAAUCCCUGAAAUUCAGUUUACCUGGCCCUUUCUCACAGAUAGAAAGGCAACUCACAAGAUAAGAAGAGUGGACUUGGUCUCCCCAAAGUAGAAAGGAAAGGAGAUGUCAAAACCACAGAGGUCGAUACAAUUUUCAAAACUGCAGACAAACAAAACUCUUAGUAGAAGUCCACUUCAUAGGCAGAAGAAGCCACAAAUGGUUUGAGCAACUAGCAGAUGUAUAUCAUUCUUUCAUUCCAUUAUGAAGCAUUUGUGUGGGCCAACUGUAUGCCAAGCUCAUCUGGGCUGAGCAGGUGUAAUCAUACUCCAGGUUCAGGCAACCCAAAAAAACCCACCCUACAAGCAACCAGUGUGGUGUGAAUUUCAGGUUUGAUUCAUAAUAACUCAGUCCCCUGUAUGAAAAUGGGAUUCUUCUGCUGUAAAGUCACUCAGAAAAUAAAUCAUCUUCCCCUAAUGUCUCAGACACUAAAAUUUACUUCGUUAUUUCUCUGAUGUGUCUAAAAAUCAUAACAAUUAUGCUCAUUGACACAGAGAGUUAGAAAGAUGGUUACCAGAGGCUGGGAAGGGUAGUGAGUACAAAAAAAAUGGAAAGAAUGAAUAAGACCUACUAUUCAAUAGCACAACAGGGUGAUUAUAGUCAAUAAUAAUUCAAUUUUACAUUUUAAAAUAACUAAAAGAGUUUAAUUGGAUUGUUUGUAACACAAAAGAUAAGUGCAUGAGGGCAUAGAUGCCCCACUCUUCAUGAUGUGACGAUUACACAUUGCAUGCCUGUGUCAAAACAUCUUGGGUACUCCAUAAAUAUAUACAACUACCAUGUACCCACAAAAAAUCAAAAUUAAAAAUUAAAAAAGGGGAUUUCCAUGGUUUAACU